GAUGAACGCUGGCGGCGUGCCUAAUACAUGCAAGUCGAGCGAACAGACGAGGAGCUUGCUCCUCUGACGUUAGCGGCGGACGGGUGAGUAACACGUGGAUAACCUACCUAUAAGACUGGGAUAACUUCGGGAAACCGGAGUUAAUACCGGAUAAUAUAUUGAACCGCAUGGUUCAAUAGUGAAAGACGGUUUUGCUGUCACUUAUAGAUGGAUCCGCGCCGCAUUAGCUAGUUGGUAAGGUAACGGCUUACCAAGGCAACGAUGCGUAGCCGACCUGAGAGGGUGAUCGGCCACACUGGAACUGAGACACGGUCCAGACUCCUACGGGAGGCAGCAGUAGGGAAUCUCCCGCAAUGGGCGAAAGCCUGACGGAGCAACGCCGCGUGAGUGAUGAAGGUCUUCGGAUCGUAAAACUCUGUUAUUAGGGAAGAACAAAUGUGUAAGUAACUAUGCACGUCUUGACGGUACCUAAUCAGAAAGCCACGGCUAACUACGUG
rnacentral:rRNA from 1 species